rnacentral:lncRNA from 1 species
UUAUUUUCCAAGAGUAGUACAGACUUUUUCUUUUGGAAGGGAGUCAUUAGGGCGUAGUGAUUAACAAAUGGUCUUUUUAUUUCAUUAGCACCACAUGGAUCUAUGGUGGUACCUGAGCAAACUUUCUUGGGGCCCAUGUAUUCUUCUGCAGAGGCUCUCGACUCAUCAGCCUUCCUAGGCCUGGUUUCACCCACAGAAUUUCUACAAGACAAAGCAGUGCCUGAAGAACAUUGGAUGGGAGCUCAGCGUGAUGCGAAGGCACCAGAUGCCUCUUUCUUUGUUGAGCCAUCAGUGCCCCCCACAGCGACUGAAACCAUCAAGGAUUUACCGGAAAACCCCGCAGCGGUGACUCCUGGCGUCGUCCCUCCCACGGUACCGGUGUCCCCAGGAGGGGCUGGAGCUGCCGAUGGACCAAAAGGUGCCACCACAGAUGCAGCCUCUGUUCCUGCCUGGGAUGUCACUGCCGUUGCUGCGGAAAACUCUGGCUCCCUUCUCGCAGGGGACACCGCGCCCCCCCAGGCUCUGGAUGCUGGAUUUGCCCCCGUGGUAGAAACCAACCCUUUUCAGGCCGUGGAUGUUGGGUUUGCUCCUGCGCCAGAAGCCAAGGGUCCUCCUGCUGCGGAUACUGGCUUCGCCCCAGCAGCAGAUGCCGUGUCCCAUUACACUAUGGAUAUGGAGUUUGCCCCAGCAGAAGAUGCAGGGUUUGCCCCGGCACCAGAUGUGGAGUCUCACCAUGCUGUGGAUUUGGGGUUUGCCCCGGCACCAGAUGUGGAGUCUCACCAUGCUGUGGAUUUGGGGUUUGCCCCAGCACCAGAUGUGGAGUCUCACCAUGCUGUGGAUUUGGGGUUUGCCCCNGGUGUGGCUUCUGGGUUUGCCCCAGCAGAAGAUGCAGGAUUUGCCCCGGCAGCAGAAAUCAACCAUCACCACGUGAUGGAUUCUGGGUUUGCUCCUGCAGCAGAAGCCAAACCUCUCCCUGCCCUGGAUUCUGGGGUUGCCUCCACAGAAGCCAAGUCCCCUUCUGCAGCAGACACCAAGGCUGCAGCAUCCGAGGAGCUGACGACACCCAAGUCUUCUGUUGAGCAAGACAAGUCGCCCUUCGACAAACCUCCUGCAGAAGCAAAACAGGAAUCGAAAGUCCCAGAAGCUUGUGUUGGUCCUUCAGAGGCAGCUGAAGGCGGCCGAGAACCUCCUGGUCCCCAGGAGGAACAUCUUCCACCACAGACCAACCAUCGUUCGGAACCAGCAGUUCCAGUAGAAGCAAAAGAAGCCGUUGCACUAGAAAAUAAAGACCUCCUUCCGGACAAACCUGCGACUGCUGUGGAUGUUGCUGUUCCGGAGAAGGAGGCAGAACACAACCACGUCCAACACGCAGAACCUCAGCAAGAAAAAACCCCGCAAGAGCCCACAGGUAGAAUAGAAAUCGUAAUUCAAUUUUUUUUUUUUUUUUUUUUUUUUCUUUUGCAAUGGAAAAAUCCUCCGUGAACUCUUCACCUUUUCCUACUGGCUGCG